CCACUUUAAUAUGAUGGAAAUAAUAAUCACCAAAAAUGUUCUAAUAUGGAAUUUAAUCUGAUUUAUCCAGUUAAAAAUUUUAACUAAUAUAUGAAAGUAUAAUUUAGACAUUUUGAUAGUUUUGGUAAAUUAGGUGCCAGCAACCGCGGUCAAACCUAAAAAAUAAGAUUAUUUACAAAUUAAGGUAAGCAAUGAUCUAUUUUUAUAUACAUAAACAAAUAGUGAAAUACUGCUAUUUAAAAAAACUACUUAAAUUUAUUAUUUAAUAAUCCAAAUAUAAAACUAGGAUUAGAGACCCUACUAUUUUGGGUGGAUUUCUUCCUUAUUAAGGACUAAUGCUAUUUAGGUCUAAACUUAAAUGUUAUGGCGGCUUAAUAAACACUUAGGGGAACUUACCAUGUAAAUGAUAAUCACCAAGGAUAUGCCACUUACUUUUACAACUUGUAUACCGUUGUCUUCAUAACUCAUUUGAAAUGGGUUAAAAAAUUAACUCUAAUAAAAGAUAAAUCAAGGUGCAGUCAAUAAGUAAGAAUUAAGGUGAGUUACAAUAAAUAAUUUAUUCAGAAUAUAGUAUGAAAAACUGUAAGAAGAUGGACUUAAUUGUAAUGGCUUCAAAUUAAUAAUUUGGCCGUGAACAUAAAUUAUUGAGUGUA
rnacentral:rRNA from 1 species